UAGAUACCCUGGUAGUCCACGCCGUAAACGAUGAGUGCUAAGUGUUGGAGGGUUUCCGCCCUUCAGUGCUGCAGCUAACGCAUUAAGCACUCCGCCUGGGGAGUACGGUCGCAAGACUGAAACUCAAAGGAAUUGACGGGGGCCCGCACAAGCGGUGGAGCAUGUGGUUUAAUUCGAAGCAACGCGAAGAACCUUACCAGGUCUUGACAUCUCCUGACCGCCCUGGAGACAGGGUCUUCCCUUCGGGGAC
rnacentral:rRNA from 1 species